rnacentral:rRNA from 1 species
GAUUAAGUUAUUAAGGGCGCACGGUGGAUGCCUUGGCACUAGAAGCCGACGAAGGACGUUACUAACGACGAUAUGCUUUGGGGAGCUGUAAGUAAGCUUUGAUCCAGAGAUUUCCGAAUGGGGAAACCCAGCACGAGUUAUGUCGUGUUAUCGAUAUGUGAAUACAUAGCAUAUCUGAAGGCAGACGCGGAGAACUGAAACAUCUUAGUACCCGCAGGAAGAGAAAGAAAAAUCGAUUCCCUGAGUAGCGGCGAGCGAAACGGGAAGAGCCCAAACCAACGAGCUUGCUUGUUGGGGUUGUAGGACACUCUAUACGGAGUUACAAAAGAACAGACUAGACGAAUCAUCUGGAAAGAUGAAUCAAAGAAGGUAAUAAUCCUGUAGUCGAAAGUUUGUUCACUCUUGAGUGGAUCCUGAGUACGACGGAACACGAGAAAUUCCGUCGGAAUCUGGGAGGACCAUCUCCCAAGGCUAAAUACUCUCUAGUGACCGAUAGUGAACCAGUACCGUGAGGGAAAGGUGAAAAGUACCCGGAAGGGGAGUGAAAUAGAACUUGAAACCGUGUGCUUACAAGUAGUCAGAGCCCGUUAAUGGGUGAUGGCGUGCCUUUGUAGAAUGAACCGGCGAGUUACGAUUUGAUGCAAGGUUAAGCAGUGAAUGUGGAGCCGUAGCGAAAGCGAGUCUGAAUAGGGCGUUGAGUAUUUGGUCGUAGACCCGAAACCAGGUGAUCUACCCAUGACCAGGUUGAAGUUCAGGUAACACUGAAUGGAGGACCGAACCGACUUACGUUGAAAAGUGAGCGGAUGAGUUGUGGGUAGCGGAGAAAUUCCAAUCGAACCUGGAGAUAGCUGGUUCUCUCCGAAAUAGCUUUAGGGCUAGCCUCAAGUGAUGAUUAUUGGAGGUAGAGCACUGUUUGGACGAGGGGCCCUUAUCGGGUUACCGAAUUCAGACAAACUCCGAAUGCCAAUCAAUUUAACUUGGGAGUCAGAACGCGGGUGAUAAGGUCCGUGUUCGAAAGGGAAACAGCCCAGACCACCAGCUAAGGUCCCAAAAUAUAUGUUAAGUGGAAAAGGAUGUGGCGUUGCCCAGACAACUAGGAUGUUGGCUUAGAAGCAGCCAUCAUUUAAAGAGUGCGUAAUAGCUCACUAGUCGAGUGACACUGCGCCGAAAAUGUACCGGGGCUAAACAUAUUACCGAAGCUGUGGAUUGUCCGUAAGGACAAUGGUAGGAGAGCGUUCUAAGGGCGUUGAAGCAUGAUCGCAAGGACAUGUGGAGCGCUUAGAAGUGAGAAUGCCGGUGUGAGUAGCGAAAGACGGGUGAGAAUCCCGUCCACCGAUUGACUAAGGUUUCCAGAGGAAGGCUCGUCCGCUCUGGGUUAGUCGGGUCCUAAGCUGAGGCCGAUAGGCGUAGGCGAUGGAUAACAGGUUGAUAUUCCUGUACCACCAUUAUUCGUUUUAAGCGAUGGGGGACGCAGUAGGAUAGGCGAAGCGUACGAUUGGAUUGUACGUCCAAGCAGUGAGAUUGAGUGUUAGGCAAAUCCGGCACUCUUAAGAUUGAGCUGUGAUGGGGAGAGGAAAUUGUUUCCUCGAGUCGUUGAUUUCACACUGCCAAGAAAAGCCUCUAGCUAGAAUUGUGGUGCCCGUACCGCAAACCGACACAGGUAGUCAAGACGAGAAUUCUAAGGUGAGCGAGCGAACUCUCGUUAAGGAACUCGGCAAAAUGACCCCGUAACUUCGGGAGAAGGGGUGCUCUUUAGGGUUAACGCCCAGGAGAGCCGCAGUGAAUAGGCCCAAGCGACUGUUUAUCAAAAACACAGGUCUCUGCUAAACCGUAAGGUGAUGUAUAGGGGCUGACGCCUGCCCGGUGCUGGAAGGUUAAGAGGAGUGGUUAGCUUCUGCGAAGCUACGAAUCGAAGCCCCAGUAAACGGCGGCCGUAACUAUAACGGUCCUAAGGUAGCGAAAUUCCUUGUCGGGUAAGUUCCGACCCGCACGAAAGGCGUAACGAUUUGGGCACUGUCUCAACGAGAGACUCGGUGAAAUCAUAGUACCUGUGAAGAUGCAGGUUACCCGCGACAGGACGGAAAGACCCCGUGGAGCUUUACUGUAGUCUGAUAUUGAAAUUCGGCACAGCUUGUACAGGAUAGGUAGGAGCCUGAGAUACGUGAGCGCUAGCUUACGUGGAGGCGUUGGUGGGAUACUACCCUCGCUGUGUUGGAUUUCUAACCCGCACCAUUUAUCAUGGUGGGAGACAGUGUCAGAUGGGCAGUUUGACUGGGGCGGUCGCCUCCUAAAGAGUAACGGAGGCGCUCAAAGGUUUCCUCAGAAUGGUUGGAAAUCAUUCAUAGAGUGUAAAGGCAUAAGGAAGCUUGACUGCGAGACUUACAAGUCGAGCAGGGUCGAAAGACGGACUUAGUGAUCCGGUGGUUCCGCAUGGAAGGGCCAUCGCUCAACGGAUAAAAGCUACCCCGGGGAUAACAGGCUUAUCUCCCCCAAGAGUUCACAUCGACGGGGAGGUUUGGCACCUCGAUGUCGGCUCAUCGCAUCCUGGGGCUGUAGUCGGUCCCAAGGGUUGGGCUGUUCGCCCAUUAAAGCGGUACGCGAGCUGGGUUCAGAACGUCGUGAGACAGUUCGGUCCCUAUCCGUCGUGGGCGUAGGAAAUUUGAGAGGAGCUGUCCUUAGUACGAGAGGACCGGGAUGGACAUACCUCUGGUGUACCAGUUGUCGUGCCAACGGCAUCGCUGGGUAGCUAUGUAUGGACGGGAUAAGUGCUGAAAGCAUCUAAGCAUGAAGCCCCCCUCAAGAUGAGAUUUCCCAACUUCGGUUAUAAGAUCCCUCAAAGAUGAUGAGGUUAAUAGGUUCGAGGUGGAAGCAUAGCGAUAUGUGCAGCUGACGAAUACUAAUCGAUCGAAGACUUAAUCAA